UGGGGAAUAUUGGACAAUGGGCGAAAGCCUGAUCCAGCCAUGCCGCGUGUGUGAAGAAGGUCUUCGGAUUGUAAAAGCACUUUAAAGUUGGGAGGAAGGGCAUUUACCCAAUACGUAAGUGUUUUGACGUUACCGACAGAAUAAAGCACCGGCUAACUCUGUGCCAGCAGCCGCGGUAAUACAGAGGGUGCAAGCGUUAAUCGGAAUUACUGGGCGUAAAGCGCGCGUAGGUGGUUUGUUAAGUUGGAUGUGAAAUCCCCGGGCUCAACCUGGGAACUGCAUUCAAAACUGACAAGCUAGAGUAUGGUAGAGGGUGGUGGAAUUUCCUGUGUAGCGGUGAAAUGCGUAGAUAUAGGAAGGAACACCAGUGGCGAAGGCGACCACCUGGACUGAUACUGACGCUGAGGUGCGAAAAGCGUGGGGGAGCAAAACAGGAAUUAGAUACCCUGGUAGUCCACGCCGUAAAACGAUGUCAACUAGCCGUUGGGAGUCUUGAGCUCUUAGUGGCGCAGUAACCAUUAAGUUGACCGCCUGGGGNGUACGGCCGCAGGGUUAAAAA
rnacentral:rRNA from 1 species